rnacentral:rRNA from 1 species
AAUGAGUGUGUUACGGGGGGAAAUGAACAAGGUUUCAGUAGGAGACCCUCCGAAAAGAUCAUUACCACACCAAACAAAAAUCUUUCCACGUGAGUCUGUAUCAGCCGUUUUGAGUUGGGGGGUGUUGCUCGGCGUUUUUGCUUGAGCCACGCCCUAUCAUGGCGAAUGUUUGGAGUUUCGGUUUUGGGCUAGUAGCUCAUUUGUCUUAAACCCAUUUAACAAUGCGGAUGAUAGUGUGGGGACGAAAGUCCGAUGCGAUCAAUUAGAAAGCAGCUUUCUGCAGUCGAUCUAUAGGCUCAAAAAUCUUUUGAAUAUCGCUAUUGAUAUGCGAUGGUAUUGGAAGUAAAAAGCGUAACAAGGUUUCCGUAGGUGAACCUGCGGAAGGAUCAUUACCGAGUUGAUUCGAGCUCCGGCUCGACUCUCCCACCCUUUGUUUACCUACCUCUGUUGCUUUGGCGGUGCCGCCUUCGGGCGCCCGCCAGAGGACUUCAAAACUCCAGUCAGUGAACGUCUCAGUCUGAAAAACAAGUUAAUAAACUAAAACUUUCAACAACGGAUCUCUUGGUUCUGGCAUCGAUGAAGAACGCAGCGAAAUGCGAUAAGUAAUGUGAAUUGCAGAAUUCAGUGAAUCAUCGAAUCUUUGAACGCACAUUGCGCCCCUUGGUAUUCCGGGGGGCAUGCCUGUUCGAGCGUCAUUUCAACCCUCAAGCUCUGCUUGGUAUUGGGCUCCGUCCUCCUCGGACGCGCCUCAGAGACCUCGGCGGUGGCGUCUUGCCUCAAGCGUAGUAGAAACACCUCGCUUUGGAGUGCAUGGCGUCGCCCGCCGGACGAAACCCUUUUGUAUUUUCUCAAAGGUUGACCUCGGAUCAGGUAGGGAUACCCGCUGAACUUAAGCAUAUCAAUAAGCGGAGGAAAGUGGAGGUAGCAAAGCGUGACCAAGGAAGCGACCGGUUCGUCUGCUGCAGCGUUUAAUGGACGAGUGUUCGAUUCUCGGUAUGGUUGGCUUCAGCUGAACGGGCGCUUAUUGUAUGCUUUUCCUGCUGUGGCGUGAUAGGGCUGGUGAACCCUAGCUGUGUGUGGGUUGGCUUUUGAAUCGGCUUUUGCUGUUGCGAAGUAGAAUGGCCCGCUUCGGCUUGUAGAGUGUCAAAUCCAUUUAGGGGAACUUUUGUGUGCGCUUUCGAGUGUGCAUCUCAAUUGGACCUGAUAUCAGGCGAAAUUACCCCCUGAACUAGAUUUCCCUAGAACUUAGCAAAAAAAAAAU